rnacentral:lncRNA from 1 species
AGUUCUGCGCUGUGAGCCGGGGCACAAAGAGCCCUCUGCACUAGCGCCGCAGGACCGCGGACCCGAGUUGGAGGCAUCUGUCCACCCAUGUGGUUCCAGACACGUUCAUGUGGCCACCAUGACCCCGUCGGCAUCACAGGGGUAACCAAGAGAGCAGCAAGUUCCUGGGACAGAGGAGACAGAAGGGAAUUUCCAGGUUCUUCAGGACGUUCACAACCACACUGAGAAGCAUCUUUGCAGAUAAGUAUUUAAACUUACCAGCCCAUAGCCUACCAGCCUGCCCUCUUCUGGUCUGUGCAGGAAAGUGUAGUAUCCUAGAAUGCCAAAGUGGGAGGGGAAAUGGGUGAUGUAGCUCAUUCUCUUUUCUACCUCUAUGGAAGAAAGAAAGAGCCUGUCCCCAUUUUGUGGGGUCCCAGAAAGGGUGAUUUUCACACUUCACAUUUGGCGUUAGGGCUAGUAUUUCACAAACAUUACCGUCUGGAACUUUUGAAGGCUGAGUUAAAUGACUUCAUCUUGUGUACUUGUAGAACUGCUAUUAGAAGGAGGCUGGGGACUCCCUGAUGAUGUGAACCAGCCCUUCUCUUCUCAGUUUCAGCACUUUGUGAUCAUAUUUAUAAACCUUGGACAGGGCUCCUUGGCCUUAGAGUUAAGUGAAGAGUUAACACUGUGACUUUAGAUGCAUUUUUCUCAGUGUAAGUGUCUGAGCUCAUCUCCAGUUCUGGACUCGUGCCCCCACUCCCGGGUGCUGACAGCAAGCUCUGAAGAUAUGCUGAGAGAGCUCCCUGACUCUCCUGACUCAGGUCUGCCAGUUGAUGAAGACAGCACAGUUGUUACCAAAAACAAAACCUGGCAGAUGGUCCUAGGUCAGGAUUAGUGGUCAUUCUCUGGUCUUCUCCAGACUGGUGACACAGGGUGGUCUUAAAAGAGUCCUAGUCCAGCCUCUGGCUCCCCGAAUUUCCUCUGGUGCAUGGGGCAUCAGGAAAGGGCAGGGGAGAAGGAGGGGGAGCAGAAAAAUAACUGAGGCUGGGCAGAAGGGUCCCUUCCAUUUCCCAUCCAUUGCUUCAAACAAUGGGUGAUUACCGUGCACCUUGAGUGAAUGUCAAGGCAGGAAGGGUUCCAGGGCCACCCAGUGUGGCAGGAGCAGAGCUGGGAUCAGAAUUCUGGAUUCCUGACUCUCCGUUCAGCUGCUAUUCAGCUAUCACCAAGCUGCUGAGUUUGUCCUACUUUCUCCUGGGUCACAUUCUGCUGUUGUUGGGAAACAGGGAGUGAGUGAAGGGAACCUGGGAACCCUUCUCCCCUCACCUUUUAAGGAUGUUCUGGGGUGGAAUAAAGAGAGGUGGAGGGUGGGGUGCCUGGGCCCAGCCUCCCUGGCUCCUGGUCCUUCUUUCUUCAGCAGGGAGUUCUGGCAAGGCCUGGGCCUGGGGAGGGGGCCUGGGUGCAGUUUUCUCCUGCGGUGUGGUUGGCUCUUUUGUCUUCCAGGAUGGGCCUGUGGGGUCUGUGUGGGGAAGGAAGGAGCUGGGAGCCUGGGCUGCCUGUGUGUCGGCUGGAUGCUGCCAGCACCGGCAUGGACCAAGCAACUUCUCUGAGCCAGAUGCUGGGGACGCAGAGGUGAACCCAGAGACAUGAUCCCAUCUGCUCAGAUCUUCAUGUCAGAACACGCUUUAUUACAGUCUCGGCAAGGGGGUGGCUCCAUCUGGGCCGCAUCUCCAGGACUCCUGGCCUGGACUUCUCUUUGGACCUCGGGUGACCUUGGAUUCUGGCCACAGUGACUUAGCGGUCAGACUCCGGUGGUUUUCUAGCCCGCUGGGUGACUCCCUGAAGAUCUCAUCCUCUUCACACCUGUUGGGAUGGAGCCUCCCAUGGAUAGGAACUCUUCCUGGUUGAUGCUCAGCAGAUGACUGAUCUGGCUCUGGAGGACAGCUCCAGGGAAUGCGGAGUGGUGUGUACUAUUCAUCAGCUUGGGCUGCCACAGCACCAUGCCAGACUGGAUGGCUUAAACAUCAGGAAUUUAUUUUCUGCCAGUUCUGGAGGCUGGAAAGUCCAGAUCAAGGUGUUAAGACUUGGUUUCUGGUGAGGCCUCUCUCCUUGGCUUGCAGGUGGCACCUUCUCACUAUGUCCUCACAUGGCCUUUUCUCUGUGGAGAGGGACAGAGAGCAUGAGCAGGCUCUGGUGUCUCCUCCUCUUCUUAUAAAGACACUAAUAUCACCAUAUUAGGGCUUAAACCUAUGACCUCAUUUAACCUUAACCCCUUAAAGGUCCCAUCUCCAAAAACAGUCACAUAGCAGGCUACUGCUUCAACAUAUGCAUUUGGGGGAGGGGACACCAUUCAGUUCUUAACAGGGUGGUCACCGCAAACAUGGAAAGUCAGAGCCUUCUCCCCUUCAGAAUUCCCGCCCCCACCCAGGGAUGGGGAGGAGGAGCAGAGAGGUAUGGGAAGCAGACACGGAGAGUGGCAGGUACCAUGCUGGGGUGGCUCAGGAGUGCUUCGGAGGACAUAUGGAACUGGCAGGGCUCAGUGCAGGGAGGCGGAGGCCCUGGGAGAGCCGUGUCCUGAGAAGGGCCUGGGCUACAACCCUGGGCAAGUUACUUCACCUCUGAGCCUCCGAUGCUCUGUGAAAUGGAAGGAAUGUGCUUGCCUGUCAGGUGCAGGGAGAAUUCAGUGAGAUUGUGUGCCUAGCACAGUGCCUGACUCCCAGUAGGUGCUCAGCAAAUGCUCCCAUCCAUCUGGGAGUAUAGACUUAGGGUUUAUCUAUUUUUUUUUUUUUUUGGCUCUCUGGACUUUAAAACUCAGCAUCUUCUGAACCAGAGGCAUUUCUGAUUAGCCCUUCCCUACCUAUUUUCCUAGUAUCACUCUUUAAUCAGCUUGGGGAGGUGGCAGCAUUUCAUGGCCUCCGUAGUAACUCACAAUGCUUCCUGGGGUAUUUAAAUUCUACUCUCUCAUCAGCACUGAGCACCUACUUUGGGCCCUUUCCCGUGCUAGCCAUUUGGGGGAAAUAUAGGUGAAGAGUGGCUGGGGUUUGAACCUUUAGGAUUUCACAGCCAUGCUGGAUGGGAUAAAACCAGCUCACAUGGAGAAUCAGAGAAUGGGACAGUGCCACAAAACAGUCUACUGAGGCACAAGUUCUGAGUGCCUGGGAAGUGGUAGAGAGACCCCAGAGAGGGCUGCUGCAGUCUGGAACAGCUUCCUAGCAAGCUGUACCAAACAGGGCCUUGAAGGAUGAGAAAGAUCUGGCUGAGAUGAUACCCGACCCUCUAGGGAAAUUCUUAAAGUAACUUCUAGGAAAUGUCAUUGCUCCUUAAAAAAAAAAAAAAAAAAAAAAAAGCAGGUUCUAAUUCAAAUUCCGCUGCACUACUGAAGUAGUGCAGGACUUAUCAGAACCUUUAAAAUGCUAAUGGCAAUUUCAAAUACUCAGGGACAGGGCAUAGGAUGAAGUGUUCCUUGACUUUUAUGGCCGUAGAAUCUUUUUCUCAUGGAACAUCGUUUAGAACUGUGGGAGAUGCUAGGCUGGGGUUUCUAUGGGAAAAGUACAGCAGUGAUAGAAGAUGGCAUAAUUAGGGUACACUUAGGUGCUUUGUAGCAUUGGCUGAAAAGGAAGCAGACCGGGUGGGCGUGGGGGAGUCUCAACUUGGUUCCAGGAGCCAGGCCAGCUUGAUGCGUUUUUUUUUUUUCUAAUGGUGGGAGGGCAGGCCAAUAGUUGGAGAAACUAGAGGCCUGACAGUCGGUGAUGGAAGAGAUGUCUACUAAGCACGGUUGUCAGAUCUUUUGCGGAGAGAUGCGGGUGUGCGUGUGUCUGUCAGAGUGUAACAGGAUCCAGCCCUCUGGGAAGGGGCUGACCAGAACCAGGCAGGGGGUUUCUGUCUAGGACAAGUAGGGUCCAUUUUCAGGGGAGCUGAAAUAUUUGCAGGGGGUGCUCUGAGACCCACAGCCAAUAAAUAGGGAAGCAACAUGCUUUUGGGCAGGGUCCAUGUGGUUAGGGUUGAUUUUGAUGGGGCUGGGGGGCUUAGAGUUAGACCCCCUGCCCUGGUCAGGCCCCACUCCCUGGCUGGUGGGGGCGGGAGGCCUCUGAAGCUGCAGCUGGAGGGGCCGGGGCAGUGUUGCAUGGUGUGAUUAACCUACUAACCCAGGGCUCAGCCGGGACGCUGUGGCGUGUGACGAGGUGCCUGGCCUUCUGCCAACCAACUAACCCACUAACCAGGCCCGAGCAUGCCCUACUAACCACCCCCCCGCAGCCAGAUCCUACUAACUGUGCAGCUCAUGGGCCUUUCAAGGGGCUGGGAUAUGGGGGCAGCCAAGGCUCCAGAAGGCUCUGCCUAUGGGCUGGGAUCUUUGUGCAGACCCACGUUCCAGGACAGAGAAUGCAAAUAAGACUCACCAACUCUGCCACUUCCUGUUGAGUGAGUUUGAGUAAGUCACCUCACUUCUCUCAACCUCAGUUUCCUCAGUGGUAGAAUGCGAGUUCUGAUACCUUACAGGUUGCAGUGAGGAUUCCCGUCAAUAUAAGGGUCUCAGCACAUGGCAGACACCUAAAAAAAAAAAAAGUAUGAGGAUGGAGGAAGGCCCCUCAAACCUGGUUGAACACGUCUGCUGCCUAGGCCCUGGCCUCUCUGGGUGUUCUGCACACAGAUCCUUCUGCCUGGGGCAAGACACUUGGCUUUGAAUCCAUGUCACUUCCCCACAUUCUUCCUCCGUCUCAGCUUUCUUUUCUGUAGGCAGCUCUUUUGUUCGAUUACUAACCCGUCUAACCCCUGGGGUGCCUCAACUGCACCCCGAUCAUCCCUUAACAAACUAACGGACCUGCGUGCGUUCUUCCUUUUCUCUUAGCGACUCCUGUGUGUGUCUGCUGAGGUGCCCUGUCCGCUGGUGCUGUGCUCUGACUUACUAACCCAGCCCCUACUAACCCUGUUUUCUCUUCUUACUAACCCCAGCCCUGCCGAGCUCUGGGCUCCCCCCGGGGGCUGGUCCCCCUCCUUUUGGCAAGCAGAUGACCUGGGGCUACUGGCCCUGUAGACAGAUGUCCCACUUUGCUGCCCCAUAUUGGCUGUAAGAUCAGAGUCCACUGGGCCAGGUCUAAGGCAGGGGAUGGCCCUAUUAACAAGACUCAGAGGAGGAAGAGGUGGUCCUGUGGAUGUGGGAGGCUGGACUCUGAGUAUGACAUCUCUCCUAUGUGCAGAAGUCUGGUUGCCACUGGGAGUAGGUGGGACCAGGGAAAUCUCUGGGACGUGAGUGUGGAGGCCUGUUGGUCUAGACUCUAGACUGUGGAGCUCUGAGCUUUUGUGUCCUCUGGAAGGAAGCUGGGGAAGAAUCCUCUCCAUUGUUAAGUGACGGGGAUAGAAGCUGUCCUGCACAGGAAGUCACGAGGGGGGCGUAUCCCACGAGGAAGGCAGGAGGGGGCGUGCCCCUCACCGGAAAUUAGCAGAGGGGCGUGUCCCACACCGGAAGUCAGAAAGCGGAGCCUUUCUUACACCGGAAGUCAAUGAAGCGGGUCUUUCCUACGCUAAAAACCACUGAGUGGAGUAUUUAGUACACAGGAAGUCGGCCAGAGAAACAUUUCUCAUAUUUGAAGGCCGGAAAGAGGGACAUUUCUGACACCGGAAGUCAGUGAGAGGACUCUUUCCCACACAGGAAGUCAGCUAGAGAGCCGUCUCCCCUCUCUGGAGCCGAGAGAGGCCGGUUUCCCCCACCGUAAGUAGACGUGGGGCCGUGACCGGAAGUCCUUGGGAAAGAUCCGUCCCAUUCCCGGAAGCUAGAGGGCGUUAGUUGUCGGGUUGAAAAGGGGUGUGGGGAGGGGAAGCAGCUUUACCCCGGGCUCGGAGUUUGCAGGAGAGAGAAGUGGGGAGCAAGAAGUGAACCUCAGGGGCUCACAGGGUUCCCGCAGAUGCUCAGGCCGGCCAGGAAUGCAUCUCUGGCUCUCUGUUCCCACGGACGUCACUGCCUCAGCCAGCCUCCCCCAGAGCCCGCCAGCCGCUAAGCCGGGGCCACACCUGGGGGUGAUUUCAUGCCUCACCUCCAGUAGGCACCUUGGUUUCUUUGGGCUAAUCUCUGGCUCCCUUGCGCUAACUCUUGCUCUCACCCAGCUAAUCCCUGCCUCACCCUGACUGCCCCAGGGGCUGACCACUAACAACCAACCUGGCCCUGUCUGGGGGUUCCAGGCUCCUGGCCUGGCCCUGACCGGUUCUUAAUUAACCUUUCCUUCACCUUGACUAACUCCUGCCUUCCUGGUCUGUUCCUUUCAGCAGAAACUAAUGGUUUGUGGAUUUUUUUCUGACUAACAACAGGUCUAACAUUCCUCGUUACUGUUAACAGCUUGGAUGUCGGCAUGGCUGGGAAGGGGCUAACACAGCUUUGAACUUGGCUAACACAGGUUUGAACUUGGCUAACACAGGUUUGAACUUGACUAACACAGGGAAAAGCAUAGCUAACAAUUUUGGGCGUGGUGGCUGCUCUGAGUCAGAACAAUCAGAAGUCGGUAAAGAUGGUAGUUUUCUAAAGGAGGUGCCAGGGCUCUGGUGUGGACCAGGCCUGAUGGAGCAGUGGUACCCACCAAGGUGGGGUCAGAAGUAUAGCCAGUCUUGCAAGGUUUUGGCCAUUGGGCAUAUCUUCACUCCUCAUAGUCUGCAUUUGGUUUCAGUUCUUAAAAAAAUAUAGCCUUAUAGCUACAGUAGUUUGCACAAGUAGAUGCAGCUCUUAUAAACCUUAAAAUACCUGUCUGGUGUCUACAGAGCAUAUGCCAUUUUGUAUAGAGUCACCCUUCCCCAGGCCAGGGCCUAGAGUCUUCAUUUUGGGGACUUUGUGUUUUGGAAGUUCUAGGACAUAAAGCUUUAGAUCAGAGUAUUCAGAAGGGUUAUAACUCCGUCAGUCAUUUACAUGUUAGUAGUAUAAAUUAUCUGAGCUUCCUGUUCUAACUUUUAGCUCUUCUAGCAUAAACUCUUCUGUGCAAUUUAGCUGCACCGAGGAAACGGGAGUUUUUCUGGAAGGGACUUUUGAUCUCUUUAGACUGAGGGAACGUCCUUUGGGAGUAGAGGGGCAGGGAGCAUACGCAAGGGAUUCCAGGUGCAGGUAAAAGGUGGCACUAGUUCAAGGUUUUGCUGACUCAGUCUGGUAGUCAGAGUCUGCAGGAGAAGACAGUUCAAGGCAGGGCCUGGAGGAUUGGAUCAGUUUAGGGACAGGUCAAAGGCUGGCUUACAGACCUUAGAGGCAGGUUGCUUGGGUCGUUGAAUGCUAGUCUGGUGCUGAGAGCCCUUUUCUCUGGCAACUGUGGACUCAGAGCUAACCAAUUGUAGUUGGCAGUGGGGGUGAAGGGUGAUCCAGAGGCCUGAGCUGCAGAGGGCACAAGAGAGAAAAGAUGUCUUAGAAAGAGCUUUGAGAACAUGCCUUGGCUGCUGGCAGGGACCUUGGAUGGGGUAGUCUACACCCGGAAGUGCCUGCCUGCCAUCCUCUAGUGGCUGCCUUGCUCCAUUUCACUCAAAGCAGGAAGCUCACACCUCCUAUUCCUGAAACUCCUCUUUGUUUAACUGCAAAGACUUGAUGCUGCUAAGGAUCUACUAUGUGCCAGGCACUGCUCUGGGCGCUGGGACCUGCACCUGGGCUUUUUCGUCAUGGUGCUUUUAUAGCCUAGUGGGAGAGUUGGUGAAGUAGAUAGUGAUUCAGUGAGAUGGGUGUUAUGAUUGGUCAGGGGUCUGUGGGAGCACCAAGGAGACAGACAAGAUUGAUGUGCACCUACUCUGUGCCAGGCGUGUGCCAGGCAUUGGGGAUGUAGUGGUAGUUAAACACCAUUUGGUCUUCAGGAGCUUUAAUUCUAGUGUGUUGGGUGCAGGGGGGUGGAAUGGGGACAGAGAGACACCUAAUCCACCCUGUGGUGGCUUUCUGGAGAGGGAGGCAUCUAAGCUGAGCUGUGGCUGGGUGGAGUGUGGGUGGGGAUGAGUUCCGGGCAGCGAGAGUGGUGGACACCAGUUUCUGGGGAUCAGAGAGGAUCCAAAGAGGUUCUGGAAGGUUCAUGUGGAAUGUAGCAAGAGAUAGGAGACAUGGACAUGGUGCCGGGUCUGGUUGCCAAGAAGUUUAGAUUUUAUCCUUAGGCCUUGGGGAGCGACGGAUAUGAUCUGAGAAAGGGAGUUAGUGGAUUUGAGUUUUAGGCUGGCCAUUUGGCUUUUCCAGCCCAGGUGGAACUCAGAGGAGUUUGCAAUGGCCUCUGGCCACAUUUUAGACAACUGAGCAGAACUUUUUGAAACUAGGAAGACCCUUUGGUCCAUCUUUUGAUAAACAGAAUCCAUACAUGUCUACCCCAGUUGGAAGUAUCUCUGCAAUGACUGGAAAGUAAAGAGGACCAAGGUGAAAAUAAAGGCUCGGAAGGGGAGCAAUCUUGAAAACAUGUCAUCCCAUGGUGGUGGGAAGUCCCUGGAGAAGAUCAGGGGAAACACAGUCAUAGGCUGCAAGUCUAUAAGAUAAUUCCAUUGGGGAGGGAGCCCAUUUGUCAUGCAUGGCUGCAAGGGGCAGAUACAAGUGUGGAGUAAGCUUGCAAGAGCUGAUCCUGGUCCCAGAGAGGGAAAAAUAUGCCUUGGUGGGUAAUGAACCUUUUGUUCCCAGAGGCAGAAGGAUUGGGACUAGGCCAACAUAGAGAUUGGCGAUGGUUGUGAGAUUCUAAGAGUGUGUGUGCAUCUUGACAAUAUUAGAGGAGGCUGAGCCCAAGCAGGCACAUUCUCUUCGACCCCUCCCUCAUUCAGUCUGCUUUGGAGUCUACUGAACAUCAAGCUUGCUAUGAGCAGGAUCUUAGAGCUGAGGAAUUGGCCUCCCAAUCCGAACAGGUGUUAUAAUCCUUUCUUAAUAGGUUGUGCUGUGGACCCAAUGUGAGGGCUGUGCUGGUGUAAAUGGUGACAUGUUGAGCUGGGGGGAUGCUUUCGGGGUGGGGGGACUGGUUCCAUUCCAUCAAAGGCCCUCUUGAGAGUCUAUCCAGGGACCCAUUGUUUUACUUUAACAGACCAGAAAAGAUGUUUGUUUUCCAUGUCAUUACCCCCAGGGGAUACCGAAUGUGUGGGUAGAAAUUUCUCUGUAGAUUAAAAAUCAGAUUUUUACAUGGAUUCAACAAAGGAGCGUCACUUGGAUUUUUGUUUUCAUCCAUGAAUGUAGCUGCUUCUGUGUAAAAUGCCAUUUUGCUAUUAAAAAUCAAUUCACGCUGGAAACAUGACUGUGGCCUAUGAAGCAGAAGGGACGUGCUGUUUAGGGGAGAGGGGGCAGCCAGUGGCAUUCUCAAGGAGCAGGGGUGGGCUCUCU